AACUAAAUUUGUUCUUGAUAUGAGCUUUCGUGUACAUGCACACUUCUUCAGAUACCACACUUCUUCAGAUACCGUAUCUGAAGAAGUGUGCAUGCACACGAAAGCUUAUACGAAGAACAAACUUAGUUGG